rnacentral:rRNA from 1 species
AUUGAACGCUGGCGGAAUGCUUUACACAUGCAAGUCGAGCGGCAGCACGGGGGUAACCCUGGUGGCGAGCGGCGAACGGGUGAGUAAUACAUCGGAACAUGCCCAGUCGUGGGGGAUAACACUUCGAAAGAAGUGCUAAUACCGCAUACGUCCUGAGGGAGAAAGCGGGGGAUCGCAAGACCUCGCGCGAUUGGAGUGGCCGAUGUCAGAUUAGCUAGUUGGUGGGGUAAAGGCCUACCAAGGCAACGAUCUGUAGCUGGUCUGAGAGGAUGAUCAGCCACACUGGGACUGAGACACGGCCCAGACUCCUACGGGAGGCAGCAGUGGGGAAUUUUGGACAAUGGGGGCAACCCUGAUCCAGCCAUUCCGCGUGAGUGAAGAAGGCCUUCGGGUUGUAAAGCUCUUUCGGCAGGAACGAAACGGUGAGCUCUAACAUAGCUUGCUAAUGACGGUACCUGAAGAAGAAGCACCGGCUAACUACGU